UUAAAGUCUAACCUGCCCACUGAAAAUUUUUAAAUGGCCGCAGUAUCCUAACUGUGCAAAGGUAGCAUAAUCAUUAGUCUUUUAAUUGAAGGCUGGAAUGAAUGGUUGGACGAGAUAUUAACUGUUUCAUUUAAAUUUUAAAUAGAAUUUUAUUUUUUAGUCAAAAAGCUAAAAUAAAUUUAAAAGACGAGAAGACCCUAUAAAUCUUUAUAUUUUAUUUAUUUUAGUUAUAAAGAUUAUUUUUAUUACAAUAAAUUAAAAUAUUUUAUUGGGGUGAUAUUAAAAUUUAAAAAACUUUUAAUUUAAAAAUCCAUUAAUUUAUGAAUAAUUGAUCCAUUAAUAAUGAUUAAAAAUUUAAGUUACUUUAGGGAUAACAGCGUAAUUUUUUUGGAGAGUUCAUAUCGAUAAAAAAGAUUGCGACCUCGAUGUUGGAUUAAGAUAUAAUUUUGGGUGUAGCCGUUCAAAUUUUAAGUCUGUUCGACUUUUAAAUUCUUACAUGAUCUGAGUUCAAACCGGUGUAAGCCAGGUUGGUUUCUAUCUUUAAAAAAUUAAAAUAUUUUAGUACGAAAGGACCAAAUAUUAAAAUAAUUAUAUUUUAGAUAAGAAUAUUAUUAAUUUAA
rnacentral:rRNA from 1 species